AACGAACGCUGGCGGCAGGCUUAACACAUGCAAGUCGAACGGGUGUAGCAAUACAUCAGUGGCAGACGGGUGAGUAACACGUGGGAACCUUCCUAGGGGUACGGAACAACUCAGGGAAACUUGAGCUAAUACCGUAUACGUCCGUGAGGAGAAAGAUUUAUCGCCCUUAGACGGGCCCGCGUCGGAUUAGGUAGUUGGUGGGGUAACGGCCUACCAAGCCUACGAUCCGUAGCUGAUCUUAGAGGAUGAUCAGCCACACUGGGACUGGGACACGGCCCAGACUCCUGCGGGAGGCAGCAGUGGGGAAUCUUGGACAAUGGGCGCAAGCCUGAUCCAGCCAUGCCGCGUGAGUGAAGAAGGCCUUAGGGUUGUAAAGCUCUUUUCCUAGGGACGAUAAUGACGGUACCUGGAGAAUAAGCCCCGGCAAACUUCGUGCCAGCCGCCGCCGUAAAAC
rnacentral:rRNA from 1 species